UACGUAGGGUGCAAGCGUUGUCCGGAAUUAUUGGGCGUAAAGAGCUCGUAGGCGGUCUGUCGCGUCGGAUGUGAAAACCCAGGGCUCAACCUCGGGCCUGCAUUCGAUACGGGCAGACUAGAGUUCGGUAGGGGAGACUGGAAUUCCUGGUGUAGCGGUGAAAUGCGCAGAUAUCAGGAGGAACACCGGUGGCGAAGGCGGGUCUCUGGGCCGAAACUGACGCUGAGGAGCGAAAGCGUGGGGAGCAAACAGG
rnacentral:rRNA from 1 species